rnacentral:rRNA from 1 species
UACGAAGGGGGCUAGCGUUGUUCGGAUUUACUGGGCGUAAAGCGCACGUAGGCGGAUUGUUAAGUCAGGGGUGAAAUCCCGGAGCUCAACUCCGGAACUGCCUUCGAUACUGGCGAUCUUGAGUCCGGAAGAGGUGAGUGGAACUCCUAGUGUAGAGGUGGAAUUCGUAGAUAUUAGGAAGAACACCAGUGGCGAAGGCGGCUCACUGGUCCGGUACUGACGCUGAGGUGCGAAAGCGUGGGGAGCAAACAGG